GGCCGGUUAACUCAGUUGGUUAGGGCGCCGUGCUAAUAACGCGGAUGUCGUGGGGUCGAGUCCCAUACUGGCCA